rnacentral:misc_RNA from 1 species
GUACAUUAGUGCUUGCGCACGACAAUAAUUUCAUUACAUGCGAGUGGGUGUAAAAAUCCUCUGCCGGCCGAAGCUAGCAAGAGGCCAAAGGUUCACAGGGUAUUGGAUGAAAGCCACCGACGUGCACUUGCCGAAGCCAGCACUGACGGCGACGAUUCGCAAUCAAUAAUGAUCCUUCCGCAGGUUCACCUACGGAAA